rnacentral:sRNA from 1 species
UAUAAAAAAAAUAAUAAUAAAUAAAUAUGUACAUAAAUAUAUUAAAUAUUAUUGUUAAAAAGAAAAAUAAUAAAAUAAAUAU